rnacentral:rRNA from 1 species
UACGUAGGGUGCGAGCGUUAAUCGGAAUUACUGGGCGUAAAGCGUGCGCAGGCGGUCUUGCAAGACAGGUGUGAAAUCCCCGGGCUUAACCUGGGAACUGCACUUGUGACUGCAAGGCUGGAGUACGGCAGAGGGGGAUGGAAUUCCGCGUGUAGCAGUGAAAUGCGUAGAUAUGCGGAGGAACACCGAUGGCGAAGGCAAUCCCCUGGGCCAACACUGACGCUCAUGCACGAAAGCGUGGGGAGCAAACAGG